GACGUAGGUGGCGAACGUUAUCCGGAAUUAUUGGGCGUAAAGGGUGCGUAGGCGGCAUGAUAAGUUAUUGGCGGCAAAUCGAGGCUCAACCUCGUGGAAACUGAUAAUCUGUUUUGCUUGAGUACAGGAGAGGUUAACGGAACUCCAUGUGGAACGGUAAAAUGUGUAGAUAUAUGGAAGAACAUCAAAUACGGCGAAGGCAGUUAACUAUUCUGUUACUGACGUUGAGGCACGAAAGCGUGGGGAGCAAAAAGG
rnacentral:rRNA from 1 species